GACGAACGCUGGCGGCGUGCUUAACACAUGCAAGUCGAACGGAAAGGCCCUGCUUUUGUGGGGUGCUCGAGUGGCGAACGGGUGAGUAACACGUGAGUAACCUGCCCUUGACUUUGGGAUAACUUCAGGGAACUGGGGCUAAUACCGGAUAGGAGCUCCUGCUGCAUGGUGGGGGUUGGUAAGUUUCGGCGGUUGGGGAUGGACUCGCGGCUUAUCCGCUUGUUGGUGGGGUAGUGGCUUACCAAGGCUUUGACGGGUAGCCGGCCUGAGAGGGUGACCGGCCACAUUGGGCCUGAGGUACGGACCAGACUCCUACGGGAGGCAGCAGGGGGGAAUAUUGCGCAAUGGGCGGAAGCCUGAUGCAGCAACGCCGCGUGCGGGAUGACGGCCUUCGGGUUAUAAACCGCUUUCGCCUGUGACGAAGCGUGAGUGACGGUAAUGGGUAAAGAAGCACCGGCUAACUACGUG
rnacentral:rRNA from 1 species